AGGGCUGGCAACCCAGCUGCUGACCUGGCUGCUUCUGCCAGACUGGCCCUGGAUCCAGUGGGAUGUACCAGGUGUCAGCAGGACCACAGGCACCAGGAGGACUGAGGGAGGACUGCAGCAGUCCACGUUGCUGCUCCAGUGUGUAGCCCUUCACGUCGUGAAUUUUUUUCCUCCACUCUUGGUGUUGCCAGAGGUUCCACUCAUGUCACUUUGGCAGAUUCCAGUGUCUAGUCAUCCUGUGCCCAGAAGGAUUGACCAGAAGCCUGGGCUGCAGUUUCUGACCCCUGCUACCCAAUAUAACAGACUUUGAUGGUUUACAUGGGGGUAAACCUAACUGCUAAGCUGCAAUGCAAGUUUUUCAAGCUGUGGAAGCUCUUCAGGCAACAGACAAUUUCUCAAAGUUAAAGAGCACUGUAAUGUGAAUCUUACUUAUGCGACUGUUCUAUUUUAAACAGAGUAGAGGCUCAGCAGAUCUUUUCUACAGAAUAUUCUAUUUCUAAUUCUGCUAGUUGGAACAUGCUAUAUAGAAACUCUUAAAAUGGAAAUAAAUUAUUAAAUAAAUUAAUUAAUUAUUAAAUAUUAAAUAAAUAUAUAUUAAAAUUGAAAUAAACUAUUGGAGUGUUGAAGAAUGCUUCAGUGCAACUAACAAAUUUACAAGAUGGUAACAGUGUUUAUUAUUUGUACUACAGCAUUGCCUACAGGUCCUGGCACUGUUUGGAGCAACACUGCAUGAAGACUUCUUCAAGGCCAUGCCAAAAUGUUUGUUCUCUCAGAAAUUUUAUGGUCUAAAACAUGGACAAAAAAUGAGGGAAAAUGCUUUCUCUUUCUUACUUAUGGGAAUCUGAGGCAAGCAAAGAAACAAGAUGAAUAUAUUAAAAAAUACUGGAC